AAUUGAGAUGAGUAGAUGGUAAGAGGAAAGAGUGUCCAUGAACAUCCCAGUGAAGAGGAGUCUGUGGCUUAACACCAGAAGAUUCAUAUGGAAAAGGGACAUGAAUGCUCCAGAGAGAUCUUUGGAGCAUUUCUACAGGAUCUACUGAAUUGUUUUACCUGAACUGUGUAAGUGGCUUAAUUUACCUCUGAGCUGAGAGGGGCAGCUGGAAACCUCCACCAUUUGUAUAUCUCAGCCCAUCUUCAAUUAUUUUUUGUGAUCCAACAGUCCCUGUGCUCCUGCUCGGUGGCCCAAGGUGUCAAACCCACUCUGAUCCUUCUUCUGAGGCAGCAUUUAGUUGUCUUUCAUUUAGUCAGUGACUAAAAAUGAAAGAGAUCACAUCUCAGAUAAUGUUGGAGAGUUUGUUUGUUUGUUUGUUGACUUGUUUCACUGGUUUAAGGAAAAAAUGAAAACUCCUUUGGUCACUAAAGGAAAUCAAAUAGCCAAGAUAUUCAAAGCUUUGAUCACAGUCUUGAGUCUAAAAGUCUAAUAAACA